GACGAACGCUGGCGGCGUGCUUAACACAUGCAAGUCGAACGGAAAGGCCCUGCUUUUGUGGGGUGCUCGAGUGGCGAACGGGUGAGUAACACGUGAGUAACCUGCCCUUGACUUUGGGAUAACUUCAGGAAACUGGGGCUAAUACCGGAUAGGAGCUCCUGCUGCAUGGUGGGGGUUGGAAAGUUUCGGCGGUUGGGGAUGGACUCGCGGCUUAUCAGCUUGUUGGUGGGGUAGUGGCUUACCAAGGCUUUGACGGGUAGCCGGCAUGGGAGGGUGACCGGCCACAAUAGGACUGCGGUACGGAGCAGUGUCCUACGGGGGGCAGCAGUGGGGAGUAUUGCACAGUGGGCGGGAGCGUGAUGCGGCGACGCCGCGUGCGGGAUGACGGCUUGCGGGUUGUAAACCGCUUUCGCCUAUGACGAAGCGUGAGUGACGGUAAUGGGUAAAGAAGCACCGGCUAACUACGUG
rnacentral:rRNA from 1 species